GGCUCAGGAUGAACGCUAGCGGCAGGCUUAAUACAUGCAAGUCGUGGGGCAGCAUGAGUAGCAAUACUUGAUGGCGACCGGCAAACGGGUGAGGAACACGUACACAACCUUCCUUCAAGCGGGGAAUAGCCCAGAGAAAUUUGGAUUAAUACCCCAUAAUAUAUUUGAUAAGGCAUCUUAUUAAUAUUAAAGCUUCGGCACUUGAUGAUGGGUGUGCGGCUGAUUAGAUAGUUGGCGGGGUAACGGCCCACCAAGUCUACGAUCAGUAGCUGAUGUGAGAGCAUGAUCAGCCACACGGGCACUGAGACACGGGCCCGACUCCUACGGGAGGCAGCAGUAAGGAAUAUUGGACAAUGGACGAAAGUCUGAUCCAGCCAUGCCGCGUGAAGGAUUAAGGUCCUCUGGAUUGUAAACUUCUUUUAUAUGGGACGAAAAAGGGCAUUCUUGUUCACUUGACGGUACCAUAUGAAUAAGCACCGGCUAACUCCGUG
rnacentral:rRNA from 1 species